AUUGAACGCUGGCGACAGGCCUAACACAUGCAAGUCGAGCGGAGCGGCGGACGGGUGCGUAAUGCCUAGGAAUCUGCCUGGUAGUGGGGGAUAACGUCCGAAAACGGGCGCUAAUACCGCAUACUAUCAGAUGAGCCUAGGUCGGAUUAGCUAGUGGGUGGGGUAAAGGCCUACCAAGGCGACGAGCCGUAACUGGUCUGAGAGGAUGAUCAGUCAAACUGGACCUGAGACACGGGCCAGACUCCUACGGAAGGAGGCAGUGGGGAAGAUUGGACAAUGGGCGAAAGCCUGAUCCAGCAAUGCGGCGUGUGUGAAGAAGGUCUUCGGAUUGUAAAGCACUUUAAGUUGGGAGGCGUUACCAACAGAAUAAGCACCGGCUAACUUCGUGCCAGCAGCCGCGGUAAUAC
rnacentral:rRNA from 1 species